rnacentral:tRNA from 1 species
UAGCUCAAUGGUAGAGCGAACGGCUGUUAACCGUUUGGUUCCAGGUUCGAGUCCUG